rnacentral:rRNA from 1 species
AUACGUAGGGGGCGAGCGUUGUCCGGAAUUACUGGGCGUAAAGCGCGCGUAGGUGGUUCAGUCAGUCAGAUGUGAAAGCCCCGGGCUCAACCUGGGAACUGCACCUGAUACUGCUGAGCUAGAGUACGGUAGAGGGCAGGGGAAUUUCCGGUGUAGCGGUGAAAUGCGUAGAGAUCGGAAGGAACACGAGUGGGGAAGGCGACUGCAAGGACUGAUACGGACACGGAGGUGCGAAGGCGUGGGUAGCAAACAGGAUUAGAUGCCCUGGUAGUCCACGCCGUAAACGAUGUCAGCUAGCCGUUGGGGGACUUGAUCCUUUAGUGGCGAAGCUAACGCGAUAAGUUGACCGCCUGGGGAGUACGGCCGCAAGGUUAAAACUCAAAUGAAUUGACGGGG